UAGAUAGAUUUGAGAUAACCUUCUGACGUAUGCCAAAUGAUACUCGGGUAUUUUUUUUUAAAGAAAGGUUACCAGGUAGCAGUGUUUCAAUAAUUUCAUAUACUUUGGUUGGGUUGAUCUGAAUUCCAAACUUUGUAACUUCUCGGCAUGAAGUCAUUAUGUAUGGCGAUCAAUGGAUGGCUACUUUUGGAUUCAACACCAGCAUUUUUUUUUAAGUCCAAACAAAGACAUCUCUAUUCGAGAAGGAAUUUAUGGCACUUCUCUUUACUUGUCUUGGAUAAAUAUAAAAAUUGGAUGAGAAACAUCACUCUUACCAAUUAUGAUUUCUUUCAAGGCAUCGAGGUUAUUCUGAUUGGCAUCUUCCAUUUGUGC
rnacentral:lncRNA from 1 species